rnacentral:RNase_P_RNA from 1 species
ACAUCAAGGCAAUCGCUGGGUAACCCCCAGAGGAAAGUCCAUGCUCGCACAAUCUGAGAUGAUUGUAGUGAUUAUGCUGGAUGAAACCAUAAAUCCAGGCAGGCAACUGACGGCGGAGCUGACACCUAAAGUGAAAACCAUGGUCUAAGCCCAUAACGUGCCACAGUAACGUAGGCUUUAAGGAAACUUAGAGUUUGGAACGCGGUAAACCCCUUAAGCGAGAAACUCAAAUUUGGUAGAGGAACUUUCAAAGGCGAAAUGAAGCCAGCGAGAGACAGCAAUGUAGAUAAAUGAUUGCCCCUGGCAACAGGACAGAACAUGGCUUAUCAGA